AGCCCGCGGCCCGUACCUCACCACCCGUGUCUACCGAACCAAUGUUGCCUUGGCAGGCCUGCCGCUCGCGGCUGCCGGGGGUCGCCGCGCAGGCGCCCCGGGCUCGCGCCUGCCAAAGGAGCCUUUGAACUCGAUCUGAAGAACCGUCAGUCUGAGCGUAACAGCAAGAAUCAAACAAAACUUUCACACGGAUCUCUUGGUUCCGGCAUCGAUGAACGCAGUGAAAUGCGAUAAUUAAUGUGAAUUGCAGAAUUCCUGAAUCAUCGAAUCUAUGAACACACAUUGCGCCCUCUGGUAUUCCGGGGGGCAUGCCUGUUCGAGCGUCAUUGCAAACCCCUCAAGCCCGGCUUGUGAGUAGGUCUUCUUCUCCCCGCCCGUGCGGACGGGUCCGAAAUGCAGUGGCGGGGCCAAGCUCCUGGCGUCUGAGUGUAUGGGAUCAUUUCAUCGCUCUUAUGUCCCGAUCGGCGGACGUCGAAACCCAUAUUCUUCUCCGGUUUACCUCGGAUCAGGUAGGAUACCCGCUGAAUUUAC
rnacentral:rRNA from 1 species